rnacentral:sRNA from 1 species
CAUUAUGCAGCUUUAAAGGGACAUAAGUUAUCACUUGAAAUGUUGCUGGAUGUGGCAGCCACAGAUUUGUUGAGAAGUGGAGCUCCAUACUCUCCUGGUCACCUAGCGGCUUACAGUGGUCAUCAUGAGGCUUUAAAAGUUUUAUUGACAUAUAUGAUGAACUUGGACAUUAAGGAUGUUAAUGGUCGUACAAUGUUGGAUCUGGCAUGCGCUAGAGGUCAAUCUGAUUGUGUGGCAUUGCUUCUCGCUCAAAAUGUAAAUAUUUUAG